GGCACUACCUUAAGCACUUUAGAGUAUUUUAUUGUUAUAACAGGUGGGGAAAUUGACAAAUGACUGAAACUUAUUAGAUAACCUAUUCAAGGGUGCAAAGAGUAUAAGUGAUGGAACUCUGGUUUGAACAUGGGCAGUCUGGCUCCAAGAAACUGAACAGCAGACAGGCACUGGGCACAGUGGUGAGAGAAGCAGGGGCCAGGCACGCAGACCACACUGAAGAUUUUGAACAAUAGUGUGCAAAUUUAAGGACCUCAGAGAGAGAGAAUUGGUAGGAUGGCCUCUACGUUUUUCAAAAUUCCCCUUUGGCUGCGUUAUAGAGAAUAGAUCAGAGCAGGGCAAGAGUGGAAGCAGGAAGGCCAGUUACUAUGAUAAUUGUAGCAAGUGACUCACGUGGGAGAUGAUUCAGAAGAUGGGGUCUGCAUUAGCAGAGUGGGCAUGGGCUGGAGGGGUGUGGCAAAUGUUCCAAAGAUUGGGUUGAGCUACAAUUUCUCAUUAAAGAGUAAACACUAUGCAGGGAACCGAAUUGGAUGAAUUUACAGGUAACAAUCCCAUUUUAGAAUACUGUUCUCAUCUUGUUCUACAGUGGUCUAACCAAAUUUCUAGAGAACUGAAAGAUCUGUAGAGACACACUUAUGACACGUACUGUAUAUGGUAGGUAACAGAACCUAUUUUCUGGCUUCCGAUUCAGGGCUUUGAAAAUUAAGUCACACUAAUAAAUAACACACUCGGGUGUUUCCAGAAAUUCAAAGUGCCAAAAUUCAAAUUGGACUUUCUGUACAAGGCAUCAGAAAAUGAAGAGCACCCAGUAUUAUUAAACUAACUACUUUGAAAAAAAAAUUAAAAAAUAAAGUAACUACUUUGAAGAUCUUGGCUGGCACCUGAACUGGAAGAAUAUCAAGAAAGCCAGUGGUGCUCACCUUGUUGAGGCCCAUUAUCAGACUCUGCUUCUGGAAAUGUCAGAUAGUCAGAUAGUCACAAUAAAUGAAAUUCAGAGUGACUGGGUAUCUUGCUGUAUGCAAAUGCGGAAAAUUAAUAGUUCAUGCCAAAACAAAGGAAAUUUGAGUUCCUAGACCAAGUGAGAUCAGUCAGAGAGUGUCAGUAUAAACUUCUUUAUCUUUUCUUUAUUUUGGAAAGGAAAGAUUAGGCUAGAAAAGCUUUGUUUUCACUCUUUCCUCUUCAUAAUAUAUGAAUGAAUUGAAACCUAGAUCUGACUUAGGUGAUAAUUCAGUUACAAAAAUCAACAUAAUGACUUGUGAUCAUUCUGUUAACUAUAAACUGUUUAUUUUAUAGUUACUGUUUUAUAUUCUAGCAAAUUAGAUGGGCCAUAUUUAAUAUGCUAUUUAAUAGCUUUUGUAUAUUAAAAUUUAAAAAAAAUUUUUUUUCUUUCUGGAGAAACAAACUUCCACUAGGAAAGCUUCAUAGGACUUGUUCUCUUCUUAGAUAUGUAUCUACUGAUUUGUUAAACCAAAGACAUACCCAACACUCUUUUUAAAACGGUGGGAUUGCAUUUUUUAAACUACUCCUUGGUUAUGGAUUUCUCUCCACACAAACACAAAAAUUUAUUAGCAAGUAAAUGAAAUGAAUAUUUUAUCAAGUCUUCA